rnacentral:ncRNA from 1 species
GCAGAGUAGAUCCGCAUGCGUACAGUGCCUCAAAGACGGGGAGUUGCUUUGAGGACGAAAGGCAAAGCCUGCGAUGUGCGGAUCGCAUCCCGCUG